rnacentral:lncRNA from 1 species
CUUGGACCUUGCUGUGACCCUCUAGGGACGCUAAAGGAAGCUUAAGAAAGAAGCGUGUGGGUUCAGACAAUGCUUUCUGGCCGGUGAGGAAUGAAACCACAAGGAUUAGGAGGGCAUCUAAUCGGACGGACGAUGGUGUGGAGAUGAGCGUGGAGCUUGCCCCUUGAGACCAGAGGCUCCAUGAACCCUGCACAGACCAUGUCAGGUUGUAUUCACUGUUGUUUUUUGGUGCUUGGGACAGGGCUAGACCCUUAGUGGAUUCUUAAUAGAUAUCUGCACCAAGCUGACGGAAAGACUAUGUAGUAAGACAUUAAUUUUGCAUAACUUAGUCAAACUGAACUGCAGAGUUUUUUGGCAAGCAAGGGCAAUAUUCAAAAUAUUUAACAAUUUGAACUUGCGCAAGUGCUGACCAAUAAGCACUUAUCCUGGAGCGUCUGGAGGCCCCUUGCUGAACAGCAGUCUUCAGUCGUUGGCUUGUGGGGAAGUAUGGGGGCGUCCCAAGAACAGGAGUCAGGGAGGCAGGGGACAAUGGGGGACAGCAUCUGUUUGUCAACUGAAUUUUAACAGCCAGCAAGGCAGUACUAGGAGAUGCUGCUGCACGUCAUUGGGGGGUCACUGUGCAGAGCGCUUCAGCACGCCCGAGAGCUAGUCGUCGUUCAUGACCAAACGUUGAAGUUUCUGCACAAAAGGUUCGCCUCCUGCUCCCAGGCUUCACUGUUUAUUUUCCCAGAAGCCUCUAUUCUGUUCGUUCAAUGACAGUCGAGAUGUUCAAGAAAAGAGUGAGCAAGGACAUGGGGGCUCUUCUUGCAGUGCGUGGAUGCACCUCGCAGACGAACGCCCGGUUCUCCCAGGCUGGCCAAGGAUCACUGCACAAGCAGCGCCCCCACCCCCUCCGCCCCUGCCUGGAAGCCCUCCCCUUUCUUCAGGGAGACUUCUAGACUUCAAGUCUCCUUGGCUGAGCAGUUGACCCCGUGGGAAGGGAGGGGUGGUGACAAAUCUUUGAACUCCAGGAGAUGAAAAGACUUGGAUUUUGGUCCUGCCUCUUCCUUGACCAGAUGGGCCAUUUUAGGCAAAGAGAGAAAAAGCACGCCCUAGUUCUGGGCCCUGUGAAGGAAUCAACCAGCUUCUCCCAGUUUCAUUAGCUAAAACCUAGGGGCUGGCGUCGGCUGGCUCUCCAGGGCUCUCCCAGUCCAGAGUCCUUUGGUGGCAUCUGCUCUGACCAUCCCCGGGCUGUGGCUUGUCCCUGUUUCCACUCCAUGCCCACUGUUCCGCCUGCGGCUCAGCUCUCCCCCUGGACGCCACCCAUGGGAGUCGGGGCUCCG